rnacentral:rRNA from 1 species
CCUACGGGUGGCUGCAGUGAGGAAUAUUGGUCAAUGGGCGAGAGCCUGAACCAGCCAAGUCGCGUGAAGGAAGAAGGUUCUAUGGAUUGUAAACUUCUUUUGUAAGGGAAUAAAAAGAGUUACGUGUAACUUAUUGUAUGUACUUUACGAAUAAGGAUCGGCUAACUCCGUGCCAGCAGCCGCGGUAAUACGGAGGAUCCAAGCGUUAUCCGGAUUUAUUGGGUUUAAAGGGUGCGUAGGCGGGCCCUUAAGUCAGUGGUGAAAGUUUGCAGCUU